rnacentral:rRNA from 1 species
GCUCAAAUUUGAAAUCUUAAAGGGUUUCCCUUUACGAAUUGUAGUUUAAAGAAGUGUUUUCUGUUGAGGUUUUGGUAAAAGUUCUUUGGAAUAGGACAUCAUAGAGGGUGAGAAUCCCGUAUUUGACCUUUACUUUCAACUUUGUGAUACACUUUCAAAGAGUCGGAUUGUUUGGGAAUGCAGUCCAAAAUGGGUGGUAAAUUUCAUCUAAAGCUAAAUAUUGGCGAGAGACCGAUAGCGAACAAGUACCGUGAGGGAAAGAUGAAAAGAACUUUGAAAAGAGAGUUAAACAGUACGUGAAAUUGUCAAAAGGGAAGCGUUUGACACCAGUGUUGUUUUUCUGAAAAUCAAUUAAAGAACUGUUUAUGCUAAGCUGUUUAGACUUUAUCAGCUAUCUGUUUAGUUUUGAGCUUUUCUUUAAUGCACUUUUCGGUUAACAAG